rnacentral:rRNA from 1 species
CAAGACCUGCGCUUUUGGAGCGGCCGAUGCCUGAUUAGCUUGUUGGUAAGGUAAAAGCUUACCAAGGCUUCGAUCAGUAGCUGGUCUGAGAGGACGACCAGCCACACUGGGACUGGGACACGGCCCAGACUCCUACGGGAGGCAGCAGUGGGGAAUUUUGGACAAUGGGGGCAACCCUGAUCCAGCCAUGCCGCGUGAGUGAAGAAGGCCUUCGGGUUGUAAAGCUCUUUCAGCCGGAACGAAACGGUUACGGAUAACACCCGUGACUACUGACGGUACCGGAAGAAGAAGCACCGGCUAACUACGUGCCAGCAGCCGCGGUAAUACGUAGGGUGCGAGCGUUAAUCGGAAUUACUGGGCGUAAAGCGUGCGCAGGUGGUUUUGUAAGUCAGAUGUGAAAGCCCCGGGCUCAACCUGGGAACU